rnacentral:RNase_MRP_RNA from 1 species
AGCAUUGCCAGGAGCAAACUCCUCGUUUGUGCGCUGCAAAGUCGUGCUUCCCCUGCCUUCUGAAACACAUGCAGAUGCUCACCAUCACUUGCAACAAGGACACCCAAACACAAAAGAAUUCAAAACCAAACACUGACAGCAUUGCUCAAGUCAAUCUCAGUGUUGGCACUCACCGGCAGCACAUCUUGAAAUGCUGAAACAUUCCAAAGCUCAAAUUAU